CUCCGCCUGUACAACACUGAUUGAUUGUUUUGACGAUUUUUUGCUUGUUAGUGUUGGUGAUCAAAGUAGGCCUGAAAAUUAUGUUCGGUUUUCGCAACGGUCAUUUUUCCUUACCGUGGCAGCCGAGCUGGAUUGAAAAAUAUGCUCUUCACGGAUAUGAAGGUGCUGGCCGUCUUUUCCAGAAACGUGACAGGAACGGCACCAAAGCGCUUUCACAGAAGGAUCAUCGGACAGAAGUUUAACUGUUCCGCCAACAGCGUUCUUCGCGGAAGUGAUUUUGAUUGGGAUAGCCGGUGAAAUCAUUCCACUUAGCCAGCCUACAUUGAUUGCUUCGAGUCCCUGAUCACCAAAGCACUGAGUCGAGUGGAAUUCCAGCACCCCGACUGAAGGAGGAAAUACGAAAUGAUCUACUGGUGCCGAAUGGUUGCAGCGUCAAGAUUUUUAAAAAAUGUGUGUAUUUUAGUUUAAUGUUUGUGUAGUGUGAAUUUUUUUGAAUAAAAUUUA